rnacentral:rRNA from 1 species
CCUACGGGGGACAGCAGUAGGGAAUAUUGCUCAAUGGGGGAAACCCUGAAGCAGCAACGCCGCGUGGAGGAUGAAGGUUUUCGGAUUGUAAACUCCUUUUGUUAGAGAAGAUAAUGACGGUAUCUAACGAAUAAGCACCGGCUAACUCCGUGCCAGCAGCCGCGGUAAUACGGAGGGUGCAAGCGUUACUCGGAAUCACUGGGCGUAAAGCGGGCGUAGGCGGGAAAGCAAGUCAGAUGUGAAAUCCUAUGGCUUAACCAUAGAACUGCAUUUGAAACUGUUAUGCUAGAGUAGGGGAGAGGUAGGUGGAAUUCGUGGUGUAGGGGUAAAAUGCGUAGAGAUCAAGAGGAAUACUCGUUGCGAAGGCGACCUGCUAGAACAUAACUGACGCUGAUGCGCGAAAGCGUGGGGAGCAAACAGGAUUAGAUACCCGAGUAGUC